GAUGAACGCUGGCGGCGUGCUUAACACAUGCAAGUCGAACGGAAAGGCCCAAGCUUGCUUGGGUACUCGAGUGGCGAACGGGUGAGUAACACGUGGGUGAUCUGCCCUGCACUUCGGGAUAAGCCUGGGAAACUGGGUCUAAUACCGGAUAGGACCACAUUUUGGAUGGUGUGGUGGAAAGUUUUUCGGUGUGGGAUGAGCUCGCGGCCUAUCAGCUUGUUGGUGGGGUAAUGGCCUACCAAGGCGUCGACGGGUAGCCGGCCUGAGAGGGUGUACGGCCACAUUGGGACUGAGAGACGGCCCAGACUCCUACGGGAGGCAGCAGUGGGGAAUAUUGCACAAUGGGCGCAAGCCUGAUGCAGCGACGCCGCGUGGGGGAUGACGGCCUUCGGGUUGUAAACUCCUUUCGCUAGGGACGAAGCGUUAUGUGAUGGUACCUGGAGAAGAAGCACCGGCUAACUACGUG
rnacentral:rRNA from 1 species